AAAUAUAUUUCAAUGACUUCAAUUAAAUCAUGAAGUCGAAUCCUAUAUUUUAAUGUUAAAUGUUGUUACCAGAAUUCUUUGUAUACAUAUUCAGCUUCACUUAUAUGUUUAUUAUAUCUGCAGCCACUUGAUCUGAACCUCGAUGAAGAGACACUUCUUAGACUUGUUCCUUUUUGGAGAAAGUCCCUCGAUAAUAGUCCGAGUCAACCAUAUUACUUUGAUCAUUUUGAAGUACAUCCAAUAAAGAUCAUUGCAAACUUCAUCCCAGGUGAUUCAUCAUAUUCCAGUUAUAGCUCAACCCAGGAAACAUUGAGAUCAUUGGUCCAUAGUGUGAU